GAGUCAGGGGUCAUAUUCAAAACUAUCUACAGAAGAGAUUUUAACUAAAUCCAGAGAUGCAAUUGGACCCAAUGUGUUGUGUGUCCACUAACUAAUGCCACCAUCUCCUUCCCUCCAAGUAUAUAUGUGGUGGCCAUGAUUAACUUGACUCUGGUGGAAGGAGAAAAAUAACCUGGAAAC
rnacentral:lncRNA from 1 species